UCAUUCAUUAGCUAGUGUAAUUCU
rnacentral:siRNA from 1 species